GCUCAUCUGGAAUUUUUAGCGCCUUGAGGCUCGAGGGACAUCUUGACUGUUCCUCAUUCCAACUCUUGCUGGAUUACUUGUCCAAGACAGCAAAAUUCACUGGUUUCAGUCUGUGGUGUGAUGGAAGGCAGAUCCUAUCAGAAACAUCUCUAUGUCAUCUGGUUGGCCACGACACCUGCAGGUUCUCAGGUGGAGGUUCUCGUGUAGCCCCAGGGCUCUGUCACCACGGCUGGGAAAUGAGCGCGCAGUGAUUGACGCUUCCUGCCUGCAAACAUGGCUGCAAUAGUCAGAACCCAAGAUUUAAGGUCAGGCGGGAUGAAUCAUUUUCAGAGCCUGGCAGGCCUCCAAGUCACCCCCAUCCUGGAUAUUACCCUUCAUAAAGAGC